rnacentral:rRNA from 1 species
GAUGAACGCUGGCGGCGUGCCUAAUACAUGCAAGUCGAGCGAAUGGAUUAAGAGCUUGCUCUUAUGAAGUUAGCGGCGGACGGGUGAGUAACACGUGGGUAACCUGCCCAUAAGACUGGGAUAACUCCGGGAAACCGGGGCUAAUACCGGAUAACAUUUUGAACCGCAUGGUUCGAAAUUGAAAGGCGGCUUCGGCUGUCACUUAUGGAUGGACCCGCGUCGCAUUAGCUAGUUGGUGAGGUAACGGCUCACCAAAGCAACGAUGCGUAGCCGACCUGAGAGGGUGAUCGGGCACACUGGGACUGAGACACGGCCCAGACUCCUACGGGAGGCAGCAGUAGGGAAUCUUCCGCAAUGGACGAAAGUCUGACGGAGCAACGCCGCGUGAGUGAUGAAGGCUUUCGGGUCGUAAAACUCUGUUGUUAGGGAAGAACAAGUGCUAGUUGAAUAAGCUGGCACCAUGACGGUACCUAACCAGAAAGCCACGGCUAACUACGUGCCAGCCGCCGCGGUAA